UAACACAUGCAAGUCGAACGGGCGUAGCAAUACGUCAGUGGCAGACGGGUGAGUAACGCGUGGGAACAUACCUCUCGGUUCGGAACAACACAGGGAAACUUGUGCUAAUACCGGAUAAGCCCUUACGGGGAAAGAUUUAUCGCCGAGAGAUUGGCCCGCGUCUGAUUAGCUAGUUGGUGGGGUAAAGGCCUACCAAGGCGACGAUCAGUAGCUGGUCUGAGAGGAUGAUCAGCCACAUUGGGACUGAGACACGGCCCAGACUCCUACGGGAGGCAGCAGUGGGGAAUAUUGGACAAUGGGCGCAAGCCUGAUCCAGCCAUGCCGCGUGAGUGAUGAAGGCCUUCGGGUUGUAAAGCCCUUUUGUUGGGAAAGAAAAGCAUUCGGUUAAUACCCGGGUGUUC
rnacentral:rRNA from 1 species